rnacentral:rRNA from 1 species
GACGAACGCUGGCGGCGUGCUUAACACAUGCAAGUCGAACGGAAAGGCCCUGCUUGUGUGGGGUGCUCGAGUGGCGAACGGGUGAGUAACACGUGAGUAACCUGCCCUUGACUUUGGGAUAACUUCAGGAAACUGGGGCUAAUAUCGUAUAGGAGCUCCUGCUGCAUGGUGGGGGUUGGAAAGUUUCGGCGGUCGGGGAUGGACUCGCGGCUGAUCAGCUUGUUGGUGGGGUAGUGGCUUACCCAGGCUUUGACGGGUAGCCGGCCUGGGAGGGUGACCGGCCACAUUGGGACUGAGAUACGGCCCAGAGUCCUACGGGAGACAGCAGUGGGGAAUAUUGCACAAUGGGCGGAAGCCUGAUGCAGCAACGCCGCGUGCGGGAUGACGGCCUUCGGGUUGUAAACCGCUUUCGCCUGUGACGAAGCGUGAGUGACGGUAAUGGGUAAAGAAGCACCGGCUAACUACGUG